GGGAGAACUACAAAUAUGGCGGAAAGAGAAGAGAUCGCUUCAUUUAGUAAAUGUAAAUUUACUGUUAAACGAAGUAAUAGAAUGAGACAGAAUGCUCGGAAGAGAAAUAAAAGUGAUGAAGAAAAGAGUAGCAGUGAAGAUGAGACAACUAUUGUGAAGAAAGAAAAAAAGAAUGAAUCAGUUAAUCCUAUGAUUCAAGGAACUAAGCCCACAGAAAAGAAAAAAAUUAAAGUUGGAAGCGAUAGUGAAGAAGAAAAAAAUGACUUCAGUGUGACAUACAGGUCUAGGAGAAUCGCAGCAAGUGAAGGUCCCGCUGAUAUGGGUGCAACAGCUGUUGUUCAAGUAGAUACCGAGAGGGAAAAAGAUGCACAAGCCAUAUUUGAACGAUCUCAAAAAGUUAAUGAGGAACUGAAAGAAACUGGUGAUGAUAAGAAGUACCAUGGUAUAAACAACUACAUACAGUAUAUUAAAAAAAAAGACACAGCUCAAGGAAAUGCUUCCAGUGGAAUGGUUAGAAAGGGACCUAUUCGGGCACCAGACAACUUGAGAGCAACUGUUCGGUGGGACUACCAGCCUGACAUCUGUAAAGAUUACAAAGAAACUGGAUUUUGUGGAUUUGGAGACAGUUGUAAGUUCAUGCACGACCGUUCUGACUACAAGCACGGCUGGCAGAUAGAACUAGAGAUGGCUAGCCACACUUAUGGUGAGGAGGAUUCCACUCGCUAUGAAAUAAGCUCUGAUGAAGAAAGCCUUCCUUUCAAGUGUUUCAUUUGUCGUGAGUCCUUCAAAGAUCCAGUGGUAACAAAGUGCAAGCAUUACUUCUGUGAAAAAUGUGCAUUACGUCACUAUCAGAAGUCCAAAAGAUGUUUUGUGUGUGGAGUCCAGACAAUGGGUGUCUUUAAUCCAGCUAAAGGUUAGAUAGAAAGCUUGUCUUGUAAUAUUUUAUUUUGUGUGUGGAGUCCAGACAAUGGGUGUCUUUAAUCCAGCUAAAGGUUAGACAGAAAGCUUGUCUUGUAAUAUUUUAUUUUGUGUGUGGAGUCCAGACAAUGGGUGUCUUUAAUCCAGCCAAAGAAAUUUCAGCACGUUUAAGUUCACAGAAGGAUGAAAUCAAACAACUGCCAGUAGAAGACGAAGAUUCAGAUUAAAACGAUUUUAUUAUCUCUGUAAAUAUAUGUGCAUAGUCCUGUAGAACUGAAGAUAAAAAUAAUUACGUUCUUCAGCAUGCUGUAGUUUAACCUUUGUUGAUAAUAAAUAUGAAGUCCUUGUAUU